rnacentral:lncRNA from 1 species
GCAGAGACCCAGGAGGAACAGACUUGCCGGGUCCUGCACUCCCAGCCAGCCAGUCUGGGACACCAAGCUACAGGACUAGAGGUAGGGACCUGGGUCACUGGGUCAUUCGCAGGGUCCCCACCAACCCUGCAGUUCUGUUUCAUUCCCCCUGUGUCCUCUCAGUUUCCAGACAGUGCUGUCUACCUCCCACCUUCUCCCUCUUUCUCCUUACAUCCUCCCCUGAUCCCUAAGGAAACCAAGUCCAUUCUUAGCUUCUGGGCUUCCCAAAGCCACCCCUCACCUGUCUUCCCAUCCCUGGGCCCUGCAACUCUCGGACGGGUCUCUCUGUUUGGCACAGAACCUCUCCCAAUGGCCCCUCUCCUUCCUAAAGCCUCUGACAAGCUUCCCCCUCCCUCUUUUAAGCCCCUGUGACCUCACUCCUUCCUGCUAAUCUCUGCACCAGGGUCAAAAAUUAACCAAAUUCACUAUCCCUAACCCCAGGGUUAGUAACCUGGAUCCUGGUCCCACCAUCCUUUAACCCAUCAGGCAGUCAUAUUUUUACACUGAUUUUGGAUAACUUUUUUGGUCUAAAGGAAGGCACAUUUUAUGAUGCCUUAAAAUUAUAUAAAUAUAUAUAUUUAGCAUAAGAAGGAUUGCAAAAGGCAAAAAAGAUAUCACCCACUGGUUCUAAUCUAUUACUUCCAAGGAACUUCGCCUGAUGGAACAUCCUUCAAGAAUAUGCUGGAAAAAAAUCACUAGCACCUUAGGGUGAGGGCAGAGACAUCAUUCUCCUAGGGAGAGUAAAAGUGGACAAGGAUCUUCAAAAUUGGCCUUAUUUCUCGUUGGAAACCUGAAGAAGGGUUUCACAUCCUUGGCACUACUGACAUUUUGGAUGGAUUAUUUUUCUUUGAGAGGGCUGACUGCAUUUCAGGAUGUUUAGCAGCAUCAUGGGCUCUAACUAUGAGAUGCCAGUAGCAUCCCCUCCCAGUUGUGACAAUGAAAAAUUCUCCAGACAUUGCCAAUUGUCUCCUGGGGGACCGAAUUGCCCCUCAUUGAGAACCGUGGAGCAAACAACAGGCAGGUUGUUGUCAUGUGACAGGGAAGAGAUUAGUGGCUCUGGAUAAUGUUCUAGAGCCUGGGGGGAGAAAUAUGAUUCCCUCAGACUCAAGUGGGGCCACUUCCCAGCUUGAGACCUAACCUUUGGCUGCGUGGCCUCCAGAACAGUGACCAUGGCUCAUGUCCAUUGAGCUUCACCAUGUUCCAGGCAUGUAACUAUAGAGUACAUCCCAUAGGUUAUGUAUCACACAUCACAUAAUCUCACCAUGCCAUGGGGAGGGGACGACACUGAGAUGUUGGGGGCGGGAGGGAAGGACUGAAAGCCUUCCUCCUGACUCCAUGAUUGAAUGUAUCUUCUUCCCCUUGGUUACCACUUUGUGGUAUGAAUGCAGACGAGUAUGGAGCUCAUGCCAUAAAGUCCCCAGUGUUCAAGACAUUUGCAAACAUUAAUAUGAACACUCUACAUUAUUUCCAGUCUUGAAUCCCCUUUGUCCUGGUUGGUGGAAAUGUAAUCCUCCUUCGUGAGGCUUUCCUGCCCAACAGACUGCCAGGGUCUCUGGGUCUUCUGCUGUGCCAAGACACCAUGGAGGGAUAGGCAGUGUAGGGAUGCUGCAGCCACCUGUCCACUCAGAUUACCACUGACAUAUUCACUGUUACUGUGUGGCCCAUUUGAGUCUGAUGGCUCACUACUUCUGCAUAGUGCUUGAGACUAGGACCCUUUUUCAAGGCUGCAUAUAGUCCCAGGUGCCAGGCUCUCUUUCCAAAGAGGGCCACAAUAAUAUCUUCCCUCCCACAUGUUCUUACAAAAUGACUUUGAAACUCCUCCUAUCAAUAGGUGAAGAAGGUCUUGUUGCUAUGAGACAAGUGACAUCAUGUGACCCCAAAGGCAGGUGCAG